rnacentral:rRNA from 1 species
GGUGUUGCAUGGCUGUCGUCAGCUCGUGUCGUGAGAUGUUGGGUUAAGUCCCGCAACGAGCGCAACCCUCAUCCUUAGUUACCAUCAGGUAAUGCUGGGGACUUUAAGGAAACUGCCAGUGAUAAACUGGAGGAAGGUGGGGAUGAUGUCAAGUCGUCAUGGCCCUUAUGGAGUGGGCUACACACGUGCUACAAUGGUGGCUACAAUGGGCUGCAAAGUCGCGAGGCUAAGCUAAUCCCUUAAAAGCCAUCUCAGUUCGGAUUGUACUCUGCAACUCGAGUGCAUGAAGUUGGAAUCGCUAGUAAUCGUGGAUCAGCACGCCGCGGUGAAUACGUUCCCGGGUCUUGUACACAC